AUCCAGGUCAGCCACUGAGCUGCUACAAAUGCUGAGGCUUGCAUUCUUGCUUGCCCUCCCCAAAAAGCCAGCUUUAGUCGAUUCAGCUCCUGGGGACUACAUGCCAUUUUUAACCGCAAACCAAGGAAGGAAGCUCAAGAUACUGGUUAGUUGCCAACAUUAAUGAACAAGCAGACAACAGAUCAAUGCAUGUGGCACUAACAACCAGGGAACCCUCACUUGUUGAAUUUCUGUCUUGUUCUUCAAUGACUGAAAGUCAAGAGAGCCCUACCAAGGAAGACAAAAAAUGGUAACCAUGAGCACAGCCCAGUAAGGCAUUAUGUCACAGGGAUGUGUCUGUCCUUAGUGUGUUGAUUCCAGAUUACACGGAGCUGUGCUUGUUGCUCGUAAGAGACAUGGACA